UUUUCUUUUUUUUUUUUUUUUUCGUUGCCCUCGUUGAUGACCAGAUGCUGGUUGUCCCACCCGCCCGCCUUCCAGUCCUGAGAUUGGAAAACUUGAACUAUGUCUUUGCAUCGAACCCAAACUGAGAGGCAAGCUUCAUCUCUCAGCCGCCAAUGCUUCCCAGUAUUACGUUUUGUGAGUGAGGGGCGGACUUCUUCGUGCAAGGCUCGGACAUACACCGUUCUGAAACAUGACGUGUGGUGGUGCCUUACACUGAGUAGUGCAGAUAUAUAUAAUGUCUGGGUGUGUGUGUGUGUAGCAGUGAUCAGAAAUGUUCCGUCAAAUUCAAGUUUUUCGUUAUUAGCCUGUAAGUUUCAGGUUGUGUUGAGAAAGCGUCGACCAAGGCGGAGCGGGGCGGUUCUCCCAACAGCUGACUUGUGAGCUCGUUCAUACCUUGUAGGGUAGAAGAGUUUCACUUAAUGGCCAUAUGUACGGCAGCUGUUCCCUUGUUUUGACACGGGUGUGGGAUGUUUUGACACAUGUCUCACCUGUGCUGUAUGCAGAUGCUUUGAAGGUACCGGGAAAUAUUGCAAGAGGCCCGGUAAUUUGAGAAAUUGACCCGAAAAAAUUGUACGGAAAAGCUUCAACUCCAGGAUUUACCCUUUGUUGGAUGUGAAGGCUUUUUCAGAAGCUCUGUUGGAGUGUUUUGACGAGGAGACGAAGUAUCAUUUGUGUCACCACGUGCUGGAAUCAGGCACUCGUCAAUUUUUGGCUAUAUGGAGUUAUUGGUAUCAUCUUUAAGGCUGUUCAUUUCCUUUGCAUUUGAUGAAAAAAAAAUCCAUUUGUCUUGAAUAGAAGUCAAGGUAUUUGUGAUGGAAGGAGAGAAGUCAAGGUAUUUGUGAUGGAAGGAGAGAAGUCAAGGUAUUUGUGAUGGAAGGAGAGAAGUCAAGGUAUUUGGGAUUGAAGGAGAGAAGUCAAGGUAUUUGUGAUGGAAGGAGAGAAGUCAAGGUAUUUGUGAUGAAAGGAGAGAAGUCAAGGUAUUUGGGAUUGAAGGAGAGAAGUCAAGGUAUUUGGGAUUGAAGGAGAGAAGUCAAGGUAUUUGGGAUUGAAGGAGAGAAGUCAAGGUAUUUGGGAUUGAAGGAGGUGAGGUCGCCUGGUUUCAGAAGUAAAUUGUCGAGAAAAUGGAUACCAAAGUUAGGUGACUUCCAUACCUCGAGAGUCCUUGCAAACUGCACAUUCUCAUUUUUCGUGCCUUUCAUCAAGGUUUUCCCAUAAAGUCCGUACAUACGGAUGUUUUUAUAUGGACAUACAAGGUGUUGAACCCCCCCAAAAAAAUAGAAAACUAGAAAAAUUUUCCCAACUGGCGAAAAAAUGCAGAUAUCUUUGAUUUCAUUAUUUUGAUGGGUGCCUGAUUUCACCACACUGCCUCACAUUUGGCAGGGAUAGAGCUGAGGUUGACCAGAUUUGUCUGUAGUUUUUCCGUCAGCAUAGGGAUGGUUUCCGUCGUCAUCGCGUCGUUGCGGGAGUUUGGCAGAGUGUUGUCAUGGCCGGCCCGGGCUUGCCGGGGUUUUUCUGCAAAUGUUGCUGUUUACUUCACGCGUGGUCACUUUUCAGCACAAGGGGGCUAUCCCGAAAAAAAUACUGUUUUGAGAAAAUCGAAGGUAAAGUUUUUGCCCCUUGUUCAGUUUCUUUAAAAGACAAGGAACAUUUUCUCUAAAACCUUAAUCUACACACCAGUGACUCCAAACUUCUCCUAUAGGAAGAGCAAUGCCUUUUUUGGUGUAGGUCAAGAUUUCUGGAAACCCCCGAAAUCUGGGUUAGCCCACUUGUCCUUAAAAGUGACCGAUUAGCUCAGCGCAGUCAGCUCUGUGUCUGUCUGUUUGUCUUGUCUGUCUGUCUGUCUGUCUGUCUGUCUGUCUGUCUGUCUGUCUGUCUGUUGAGAAUGAGAGGAUACAAAUCUACCUGCUAUUGUUGGUACAGCCAAAAUCUGUGCAUAUAUUGUGUUGUGAUUUCUUGUUUUCUUAGCUUUAUUUACCAAACUCCUGUCAUUUUCAUAGUUUUUCUUCUCAGAGUCUUUCAGUUUGCAUUUAGUAUUUCAUUUUUUCACAAUUCUUGUUGAUGCAAUUGAUUAUUUUUAUUUUCCCUCGUAUCUUUUUGUGGGCAUUGGCAUUCCCCGACCCUACGACCAGAGUCCUGUACUGGCCACUCGAAUGUUUUGACCGGGCGUUUGUUGGGUGGGGAACUUGUCGCAGCCGCUGGCGUUCUAUUUCUGGAGUUGAGGGACAGCUACCGAGAGAUGAAGGAACUCAACAACGGCUGCUUGGGUCCUGUUUGUCUGUUUGUGUUGCGACAUGUUGGAAUCAGGCACUGGUCACGUUUUGGGUGUAUGGAGUUCUUGGUGGAAUCAUAAAGCUGGUUAAUGUCUUGCUUUUGAUGGAAAGAAAAGUGGAACUGUCUGGAAUAAAGGUUGAGGGAUAAUUUGUGUGUUUGAAGGAGAUGGGCGUUGCCUGGUGUUGGAGGGAAAAUACGUGAGAAAAUGGCCACCAAAGAUUGUGGGUUCCAAAGUUUGAUUCGACAUUCAAGUGACCUAAUGCAGUUGUGAGUGCAGUAAAACCUCUACUAAAACAAACAUGAUACAGUUGCCAGUGCUGUAAAUCCUCUACUCAAACAAACAUGAUACAGUUGCCAGCGCUGUAAAACCUUACUGUAAAAAAAGGUUGAUUGUCCUUUUAGUGGCUUGGAUCAAUGUUUCCCAGUACAAUCCACACAGAUAUGUGUUGUCGUUUGAUCCCCCCACACCCCCUCCCCCCCCCC